rnacentral:rRNA from 1 species
CACAGCACUUUGCCAACUCGUAAGAGGAAGUAUAAGGUGUGACGCCUGCCCGGUGCUCGAAGGUUAAGAGGAUGCGUCAGUCGCAAGAUGAAGCGUUGAAUUGAAGCCCGAGUAAACGGCGGCCGUAACUAUAACGGUCCUAAGGUAGCGAAAUUCCUUGUCGGUUAAAUACCGACCUGCAUGAAUGGCGUAACGAGAUGGGAGCUGUCUCAACCAGAGAUUCAGUGAAAUUGUAGUGGAGGUGAAAAUUCCUCCUACCCGCGGCAAGACGGAAAGACCCCGUGGACCUUUACUACAACUUAGCACUGCUAAUGGGAAUAUCAUGCGCAGGAUAGGUGGGAGGCUUUGAAGUAAGGGCUUUGGCUCUUAUGGAGCCAUCCUUGAGAUACCACCCUUGAUGUUUCUGUUAGCUAACUGGCCUGUGUUAUCCACAGGCAGGACAAUGCUUGGUGGGUAGUUUGACUGGGGCGGUCGCCUCCUAAAAAGUAACGGAGGCUUGCAAAGGUUGGCUCAUUGCGGUUGGAAAUCGCAAGUUGAGUGUAAUGGCACAAGCCAGCCUGACUGUAAGACAUACAAGUCAAGCAGAGACGAAAGUCGGUCAUAGUGAUCCGGUGGUUCUGUGUGGAAGGGCCAUCGCUCAAAGGAUAAAAGGUACCCCGGGGAUAACAGGCUGAUCUCCCCCAAGAGCUCACAUCGACGGGGAGGUUUGGCACCUCGAUGUCGGCUCAUCGC